UACGGAGGGUGCGAGCGUUAAUCGGAAUUACUGGGCGUAAAGGGUGCGUAGGUGGUUUAUUAAGUUAGCUGUGAAAUCCCUGGGCUUAACCUGGGGCGGUCAGCUAAGACUGAUGAACUCGAGUAUGGGAGAGGGUAGUGGAAUUUCCGGUGUAGCGGUGAAAUGCGUAGAGAUCGGAAGGAACACCAGUGGCGAAGGCGGCUACCUGGCCUAAUACUGACACUGAGGCACGAAAGCGUGGGGAGCAAACAGG
rnacentral:rRNA from 1 species